GGUUAAGGCUCAGUGGUAGAGUGCUCGCCUAGCAUGUGAAAGUCUGGGUUCGAUCCUCAGCACCA
rnacentral:tRNA from 1 species